GAGUAAUGUCUGGGAAACUGCCUGAUGGAGGGGGAUAACUACUGGAAACGGUAGCUAAUACCGCAUAACGUCGCAAGACCAAAGAGGGGGACCUUCGGGCCUCUUGCCAUCGGAUGUGCCCAGAUGGGAUUAGCUAGUAGGUGGGGUAACGGCUCACCUAGGCGACGAUCCCUAGCUGGUCUGAGAGGAUGACCAGCCACACUGGAACUGAGACACGGUCCAGACUCCUACGGGAGGCAGCAGUGGGGAAUAUUGCACAAUGGGCGCAAGCCUGAUGCAGCCAUGCCGCGUGUAUGAAGAAGGCCUUCGGGUUGUAAAGUACUUUCAGCGGGGAGGAAGGGAGUAAAGUUAAUACCUUUGCUCAUUGACGUUACCCGCAGAAGAAGCACCGGCUAACUCCGUGCCAGCAGCCGCGGUAAUACGGAGGGUGCAAGCGUUAAUCGGAAUUACUGGGCGUAAAGCGCACGCAGGCGGUUUGUUAAGUCAGAUGUGAAAUCCCCGGGCUCAACCUGGGAACUGCAUCUGAUACUGGCAAGCUUGAGUCUCGUAGAGGGGGGUAGAAUUCCAGGUGU
rnacentral:rRNA from 1 species